rnacentral:misc_RNA from 1 species
GAUGAAGAACGUAGCGAAAUGCGAUAAGUAAUGUGAAUUGCAGAAUUCCGUGAAUCAUCGAAUCUUUGAACGCAUAUUGCGCCCUCUGGUAUUCCGGAGGGCAUGCCUGUCCGAGCGUCAUUACUAUCUUCAAGCACGGCUUGGUUGUUGAGCCAAUUGUCCUUUUAAUGGACAGGCUUAAAAUCCAGUGGCGAUGCGGAGUCCUGGUGCCCGAGCGUAUGGAGCUCUGUCACACGCUUUAGUGGUCCAGCCGCAUUUUCGUCGAUUAAACCUUAAGAAAAACCUAAGAUUUGACCUCGGAUCAGGUAAGGAUACCCGCUGAACUUAAGCAUAUCAAUAAGCGGAGGA